rnacentral:lncRNA from 1 species
GCAAGAAAAGCUCAGGUUGUUGUCACACAGGACACAACCUUUUGCUUGGCUUUUGUAGAUGCUUUGCCACCAUAUCUUCUCCCAUCCAAUCUCUCCAAGUUUCCUCCAUUGUUUUUCUCUCUUUAGGCAUGUCUUUGUCUGCGUUAUAAAAACGCGGUCCUUGAUUUCCCUUUCUUUUAUGCUAAAACACAAAAGUUAGCACUCAUGCAUGACAAAAAGUAAUUGAAAUGUAGGCCUCAAAUCUCUCUCCCAUCUCCCAUUUUAUCUCAUUUUCACAGCCAUAUUGGUCCAUUUUCCUUUUUCUUUGGACCAUACAACUUAUUAGUGGAGCUUUGGUUCCACAAAACUCUUACUUGGACGGCUUCCAAAUCUGAGAUUUCCCCUCCAUCUUUCUAUCCCCACUUCCCUCCUUUGUUUUCCAACCUUGUCUUUGAAACUUUAUGUGAUCUCAACAAUGGUCAACAAGCAUUCGUAGAAAGGUCACUUUCAUGGCCUCCUGUGUUCUUUUCUACAAACGACAUCCAACCAAUUAGUAUGUUUAUAUCACAGAUUUUAUUAUGUUGAAAUUAUGUGAAGUAAAUACAUCAAACUCAAACUUAUUAUUGUAGAUCACAAACAAGGCAGGAUACAAAAAGCAAGUUGAUGAGGACUAACAUUAUAUUAAUUUAAGAUUUUUAUGCAUUUUUUUCUUACUAAUUACAGGAUCAUCUUUUAUAGAACAUAGAGAUUCAAAUAAAAUCACACCAAAAGUUUCAAUAAAGAUAUUUAAAGAAUCAUCAAUUAUAUAUUUCAUUGGAGUUAAGAAGGAAAAAAUAGAUCUUGCACAUUUCAUUAAUAGAGAAAAGUUGACAAUUGACCACAAUAUUCUUAAGAUUUAAGUUUCUUAAUGGAGAAGGAAAGAAUCAAAGAGACCUAUAGACGGGGAAAUUCAAGGAAUCCUAGACCUAUCCUUGACCUAGAGCCUUUGUCUCGGGUUGUCGAAUCUCACCCUUACUAGAGGAAGGAAAGUCACGAGGCUAAGAGCGCAUCUUAUGCCUAGUGGUUUUGGAGUGGGUGAUUGGAAUUCUUAUAUCGAACCCAGGUUAGGGAUGCACCUCCCUUCCCUCCCAUAUUGGCACCUGUAAGACUUUUUCAUCUCUGCUUUUUGACUUUCCAGCGAGACUCCACUUUAGAUCCGCCGAGCUUAGUUUAUAACCUACAGCAAGGUAGGGUUGACAAUAGUGGCGGGGACGGGGGGGCUGGUGGGAGCUCCGCCCCUCCCCUGCAAAGAAAUAGAUUUAU